GUGGUUCCUUCAUAACGAAUAAAAAAAUCCAUCAAAAUAUGAAUUAAUAGCUGCGCCAUAAGCACAUGAUACGCCCGUUGCCAUUUUAGCUCGAAAACUCAAUAACUCUGCAAAGUCAUAUAAAAUAUAUAAAUGGAUGCUUAUUUUAAUAGAUAUAGGCUAAACAAAGCGUUUUUCAGUUAUUGUCCGAAAACUUGAAACUCUCCCCUUUUCUAUAAUUUAAAGUACAAAUACUCCGAAACAGUAAAAGCAGACAUUUUUAAAAUAAUGUACAUAUUUAUUAACAAUUUACAAUAGUUUCGUGAAUAUUAUUUAAAUGCAUUUUUUAGUUAGUCAGAAAAAUGGAAAAUGACCCAUUUUUUGAAUAAAAUCCCAUAAGUCUGACAUUUAAAAUCUAAAAUUUAUAAAAA
rnacentral:lncRNA from 1 species